AAACAUUUAUAGUAAGCAAUUGUGAAGUCCAGUAAAUAAUUGAUAGUCCAUGCCAGUUUAAAUAAUGGAAGUUCUUCAAAGUCUCUUAAAACUUUUUCUUUUGCUAGCUUUAGCAAUUUCUAGUGCCGAUCUGGGCCCUCUUAUACCACCCAUUAGGCUUAGCGAUAGAUAUUAUAUAUGGAAUAAAACAGCAACUUUUACUCAGGCCUUAGGAAUAUGCCAAUCUUACGGAAUGAGAAUGGCAGUGGUAAAUUCCGAAAAUGUUACUCGAGAAUUGCAGAAUGCUUUUUUAAGAUCCACACAACCUUAUACCUAUUACUGGAUAGCAGGCGUUUACCAGAACAAUGACGUAUACGAAGGAUGGACUUGGGCCACCACAUCUGAACCUUUUAAUUUCACUAGUUGGGCACCAUUUCAGCCAGAAAUCACAAGCUCAGAUAAUUGUAUCAGGUGGCCUUAUACUUGGCAGACAGAAAAUGGAAUAUGGGAAAGCGUGAAGUGUACAAAUUCUGGCGCAGCUCGAAUAUUAUGUGAAGAUCCUGAUGUCUGAUGAAAUUUUAUAUUUGUAUGGCACCACAGAGGAAUUGAGAAUCUUGCAGCAAAAGGGGGGCAGCUCUAUUCUUGGCAAAUUUUUAUCUUAUACAUGCUUAAAUAUAAGAAAAAAAGACCGCACCGAUUGGUGCAAAAAGCAGGCAAAUCCAACUAUUAUUAGAAGAGGUAUACGAAUUUUGGGAGCUGCCCCCAUUUUCGCUUGGUGCAGCUCCGGAGUUGCCUCCUUUUUGCACCAAUCAUUAGGAAAAUUCCAUUGUAAACAAAGACGAUAUUUUUGUUGUGUUUUUUUUGCGUCAGUAUUAGUAUCACGCGCGGCAGAAUAGCAGUGUUUUGCUAUUCCGGUUAAUUUCGAUGUUUUUUUAGUAGUAUAUCACAGUAUCGUAGGUUAGUUUUUAGGGAAAAAAUGAGAAAUUAAUAGUCCUGUAGUGAUGAUAAUGUUAGCCUUUUUGGCGAGAGUUCAGACUUGUAUGAACCAACCGAUUCAGAAAGUUCAAGUGAGUCAGAUCACAACGCUCCAGGUCCAUCCACUAAAACCAGAUAUCCAAAAAAAUAAUUCUAAGCCAAAAAAUCCUUUGUCAAUGAGGAGUAGUGAUGCUGAAGAAGAAGUAACACAACCUUUAAAAAAGACAAGAAAAAGCGUUAAUAUAGCCUAUUGGAAGCGUAAAGUCAUAAAGAGUUCCAUUGCACAAUGAAGAUGAAGAGUUAUGUCAAUUGGAAAGGAAAAGAAAUAGAAGCAAGAAAAACAGGACCAGAUUGUAAAUGUAAGUCUAAAUGCUUUAAAAAAGUAACUCAAGAAAGUAGAGCCGUAAUUUUGUCAAAAUUUAACAACCUAGGAGAAAGAUAUAUUCAGAAUACCUAUUUAGGAGGGCUAAUUACAACCAAGAAUGUUUAAUGGCCUCGUGCCAAAACUGGCCAAGGCAAAAAUCGAAGCUGCGCGCACGCAUAUAGCAUUAAACUAGGCAAGCAAACUGUUAGGGUUUGCAGACGCGCUUUUGCAUCAAUAUAUGGAAUAUGGAAAAAACGUAUGAACAAUGUCUCAAAAUCCUUUGGUGUUGGGGAUAACGUAUCAGCUUCCAUUAGCCAACGUGGUAAACAUCAAAGCAGGGUAAAAAGGCUUUCAGAAAGUUAUGUUCAAAAAAUAGAUGUCCCUAUUAAAAGCUUUCCAUGACGCGA